UACGGAGGAUGCGAGCGUUAUCCGGAUUUAUUGGGUUUAAAGGGUGCGCAGGCGGCGUGUCAAGCAAGCGGUAAAAUAGCGGGGCUCAACCCCGUCGAGCCGUUUGAACUGGCGCGCUUGAGUUCAGGCGAGGUAGGCGGAAUUCGUGGUGUAGCGGUGAAAUGCAUAGAUAUCACGCAGAACCCCGAUUGCGAAGGCAGCAUACCGGUGCACAACUGACGCUCAGGCACGAAAGCGUGGGUAGUCGAACAGG
rnacentral:rRNA from 1 species